AGUCGGGCAGCCAGCACAGACGAAUCCUGGUGGCGAGAGUGGCGAACGGGUGAGUAAUGUAUCGGAACGUGCCUAGUAGCGGGGGAUAACUACGCGAAAGCAGCCAUGUGUACCGCAUACGCCCUUCGGGGGAAAGCGGGGGACCUUCGGGCCCCUCGCACUAUUCCUGAAGCGGCCGAUAUCGGAUUAGCUAGUUGGUGGGGUAACGGCUCACCAAGGCGACGAUCCGUAGCUGGUUGAGGACGACCAGCCACACUGGGACUGAGACACGGCCCAGACUCCUACGGGAGGCAGCAGUGGGAAUUUUGGACAAUGAAACCUGGUCAGCCAUCCCGCGUGUGCGAUGACCUUCGGGUUGUAAAGCUUACUUUUGGCAGGAAAGAAACGGCACAGGAUAAUGCCCCGUGCAACUGACGGUACCUGCAGAAUAAGCACCGGCUAAUACGUGCGCUGACAGCCGCGGUAAUACGUAAGUGCAAGCGUUAAUCGGAAUUACUGAGGCGUAAAGCGUGCGCAGGCGGUCGGAAAGAAAGAUGUACAGAAAUCGGAAACGCUUUGGAACUGCAUUUUUAACUACCGAGCUAGAGAGUGUGUCAGAGAGGGAGGUGGAAUUCCGCGUGUAGCAGUGAAAUGCGUAGAUAUGCGGAGGAACACCGAUGGCGAAGGCAGCCUCCUGGGAUAACACUGACGCUCAUGCACGAAAGCGUGGGAGCAAACAGGAUUAGAUACCCUGGUAGUCACGCCUAAACGAUGUUUCAACUAGCUGUUGGGGCCUUCGGGCCUUGGUAGCGCAACUAACGUGAAGUUGACCGCCUGGGGAGAAUACGGUCGCAAGAUUAAACUCAAAGAGAUUGGCGGGGACCCGCACAAGCUGAC
rnacentral:misc_RNA from 1 species